CUACCAGCUGCCAUCCCCGGUUAAAUGCAUGGGCUGGAAUGGGGUGGCUGCACCUGAUUACAAAGAUGCAACCUUCCUCCUUGGCACACACACAGCCUGCAGAGGUUGAAGCUUCUUGGAGGCCAAAUCUUGCAUUUAUUCUUAACAUCUGCAUGAAGCAGGAAAGGUAAAUGAAGGAGACCCCAGCAAGCAGCAUCAGCUGCAGUCUGGUGGAAGGCUGGGUGCCCAGGAGUGUUGUCAUAGAGCCCAUGGCACUUCCACCCAUGGACUGCCACCUCCCCAGCAGUGACACCUUAAGUCAUACAAUCGUCAUAAGCUCAGAAGAGUUGGGUUGGAAAGGACCUCAAAGCCCAUCCAGCUGCAGCUCCCUGUCAUGGGCUGUCUGUCUGUAUGGGAACUGUUGAUCAUGGCCUGAACCUCUGAUUGACCACCUGAGGCAAGCAAUGAGUCAGCCACGGGAGCACAGGCGAAGGCAAUUCUACUUGGAAGAAGCGUAGCCUGGCUCCACCUCUCCUAGAUCCCAUUUAAGGACUGACUGCCACUAAGGAAGGAUCUCUCUCUGGAGAUUGCUCCUUGUGGAGUUUACUGCAAGCCUUCAACACUGGUGAAUGUUUUAUUAUUAUUAUUACUAUUAUCUUUCCACCAUGAUAAUCUUACUAAGCCUAACAUCUGUAUACUUAUUGAUGGUACAAUUAUGUGCUUUCCCCCUCCAGCACAGGCUGCCAAGGCUCCACUCAGCCUGACCUUGAGCACCUCCAGGGAUGGGGAACCCACAUUCUCUGGGCAGCAGUGCUAGGGCCUCACCACUCUCAUCAUAAGGAAUUUCUUCUCUGUAUUUGAUCUACGCCUUUACUCUUCUAGUUUAAAGCUGUUUAUCCCUUGUCCUUUCACUAUUCCCUCUGACAAAUAAUUCCUCCCCACCCAUCCUGUAUCCUCUUUUAGCCAUAAGAAGGUUUCUAUCAGGUCUCCUUUUCCAGGCUGAACAACCCCAGCUCUCCCAUCUCAUAGCAGAGAUGCUCCAUCCCUCUGAAAACCUCCCCUCCGUGUCCCCUGGGAUAUGGAUUGUAUGGGAACUGCUGAGUCACGGCCUGAACCUCUGAUUGAUCACCUGAGGUGAGCCAUGAGCCAGCCAGAGGAGCACAGGUGAAGGCAAUUCACUGUGCUGCCAGAAGGGGUGGAGCCUGGCUGCACCCCUCCUAGACCUAUUGAAGAGCUGGCUACCAGUGGGGAAGGAUCUCUUCUGGAGAUUGCCUUUGCUGGUGUUUUGUGAGCAAGCUCAGGAUAAGGGAUCCUUCUCUGCAGGUCUCGUUUGGGUUCCACCACCUUUGUACAUCACCUGGACACCCAGGGCUUGCCUGCAUCUCCAACAAGCCAACACCACCCAACUCUGGACCACAGCAUUUUGCCUGGGCCGUCCCCUCCCUGCAGGGGAGGCAGACCCCCGUGCCACAUCUCACCUCUGCGGAUGGCUGCGAGCAGGUCGCUCCGGGCAUCGCUCAUAGGCAUCAGCGGGAUCGGCGGCUUCCGGGACUCGGCGGCUGGGGCUGGCGCUAUCCCCUCUAAAACCCAGGCAAUGAAACAUAGAAACGAGGGCUGUGCUUAGACACACUGAAGUUUGGAGGAUGAAUGAUGAAUUCAUCCUACUGCUGACCCAUCCAUCCAGGUGCUGCACUCCCCUGCUUGGGUUGCCAGGCACCAGGCAGCCAUAGACAAGCAAUCCUGAACUGCACCGAAAUCGGCCGUGGUUCCGCACCCAUUGGGAUUUCAGCACGGCGGCAGCGAGACCUCGAGCAUUCAGCUGCUAUGAAAGCUCUGCAAGUCGCUGAAUCACGAAGCACAAGGCCCAGCUCUGCACAUGCAUGCCUGCGUGCUGGAGGGGCUCUGAGCUGCAGAGGGACACGUGCAGGCAGCCACCGGCCCCAGCAGUCCUGCCAAGCAGUGCCCCCUCCCCCCCAUGUGCAAAUGGAAAGCACUGGUAGAGCCUUGCAGCAGGGAUGUAAAGUGAUGGCCCCUCCCUGCCAUGCAAGGGCGCAAAGCGCACAGGUUCCCUCUCCAUGCAGGAAUGCAAAGUGACAGCACCCCCGCGGCCGUGCGGUGUGCAAAGAGGCUGAGACACCCCCCCACACACACGCAUACUCCAUGUGUGGACGCAGAGAGUCCUCGACCCCCGCACACUGACUGCUCUAGGACUCCUUCCCGAUGGGAGGUGCAGGCAGCCUUACACCCCCGCCCCAUGCAUGGGCAAAAACCUCCAUGAAGAGCUGGGAAGUGAGGGUCUCCCCCCAUCAUGAAAAUCGGCAAAGUGACGGGGGACCCCUCCCCACGCAAGGAUGCACAGCGUCCAGCCCCCCUACGCAUGGAUAUGGUUGGGGGGGGAGCACAGGGAUCCAAAGUGGAGGCGAUACUCCCCCUCCCCAAGGAUGCAAAGCUGUAUCCUCCCCG